rnacentral:rRNA from 1 species
UACGGAGGGUGCGAGCGUUGUCCGGAAUCACUGGGCGUAAAGGGCGCGUAGGCGGCCUGGCAAGUCGAUGGUGAAAGCCCGAGGCUCAACUUCGGGUCGGCCACUGAUACUGCUGGGCUUGAGUCGACUAGAGGCAGAUGGAAUUCCGGGUGUAGCGGUGGAAUGCGUAGAGAUCCGGAAGAACACCGGAGGCGAAGGCGGCUUGCUGGGCUUGGUCUGACGCUGAGGCGCGAAAGCGUGGGGAGCGAACAGG